rnacentral:lncRNA from 1 species
UAUCACGAGAUAAUAAGUUUCUUUCGAAAGUAUUCAUUUUCAGAAUAUGAAUGUACAUUAUUCAAGCAUAUAUACAAGCAAUGCAUCAAGCUUAUUAUGACAUAAACAAACAAAACAGAUGCUAUACAUGGUGACUGUAUAUGAGAACUAUAUAUUCACAAUAGCCCAUUUAACUAGCUAGUGUUGUAGUUCGACAGACGAGCAACGACACGAUAUCUUCGGCAUAGUCUUUGUAGAUCGAUCCUGAAGGUUAGUACAUCAACCGCGCCACAUACCAAUAGCAGAAUCUGAAGAAUGACAACGCAGAGAUAUCGUGAAAAUUGAAUGUAUAGAAUUUAAUUAAGCUAGUAAAUAUAGAAAUACAUAUAUAUUCAGGCUAUAUACUAGUAGGGUACAAAUACGUACCUUUUUUGCCUGUAUUUUUGCCUCUUUUAUCUGGGUUGUACGGCGGCUGCACCGCGCUGGAUGAGCAUCCGGCCCCGGUACCCGGCAGAGGAUUCUGCGUACCUAGAGCUACAUGGAUGCGCAAGAGGAAAAUUAGAAAGGAAAAGAUCGAAAUUAAGGGCUAUUAGUCAUGUUGGAAUUAUAAGUAAUCAUCCCAUGAACGAUUAGAUUUAUAACCUCUGAACUUUUGGUUUCUUUACUGUUAGUAUUGCACACCCAACAACGUUUAGGAAAUUGGUAUCCCUCAUUUCAGUACAUAGCUUAAUUAAUCUCUGACAGAGAAAACCUAGAGAUGCAUGGGUUGGUUGAGCUCGAUUUCCGAGGUUGGCUUCUCCUGUUGCGACAGAAAAAGUUCGAGGCUUCGAGAUUGUUUAUUCACGCCUCACGUGGUCACGAGAGUAAGGUCAUACUAACCAGAUGCAGGGGAUGGAUUUUGUUGCGGAGAUCGAUACGGCGUCUGGCCGGGUUGUGGUCCUCCAAGGGGAGGCAUGCGAGCAGUAGACAUCCCUGUAUUUCCAGCGUAUCAGACAUAACAAAAGGCCAAGCAACUCAGGUUUAAGCAAUAUAUAGAUCAGGAUUGACAUAAUCUGGAUUUGAUGCGCACCAUUAGCAGAGGGUUUCUUGGCUUCCUUCUUGUCCUUCGUCAUUGUUUGUGAUCAAUGCGUGCGAUCGUUUGUGAUCCGCUUGUG